UGAUCCCCUCCUUCCUCCCCACCACCGCCACGGCCUCCUACUCCGACACGAACUCUGCUCAAGCCCGCUCCCAUGGUUCCCGACAUCGACAGGGACUCUUUGCCCGUUCCGCAAACCAAAGGCACCACCUAUAGAAGGGACUCGAGUCCCUCGAUCGAAAUCCCAGAUCAGAAGACCAGAUCGCGGCGGCGCCACGACAGGUUGCCGGCCUGCAGUCCUCCUCACGGGACAAGCUGCGUUCGCGGUGCGCUCUCGCUGCCUGCCGGCUUCGACGGUGUGGGCCGGCGCGCCGCCCUUCCGCAGAUCCGCAAUCGAGUCGUGCGUCCGAUCUGCCGCCUCUCCUCGACGUCCACGGCUCUGCGCUCUUCCGUGUUCUCUCCUAGCGCACGCUGUGGGGCGCUACGCCGCUAUCUGGCGGCUCCUCAUACAAGAGCGAUGGACAAACUGAGCCCUGUAGGAAGCAAUCGCAUUAGCUCAGCGACGUCCAUCGUUUCUCCUCGCUAUGUUUCUUUGCACGCCUCAUCUCCAAGCACGAAGCCACGAAGAGAUGGUCCGGUCUUGGUACUAUGUUGAUAGCGAGGGUGCUUGGUUCAAGGGAAGCAGCUGGUUCUCUAGUUCUUUGUAUGCUUAUAUGGUAUCUUGGAUGAGGGUUACAAAUUCAACAUUUCAGUUGAGGAAGCUACUGAGUUAGCACGGUGGGCUUUUAUCACACAACAUUCUGUGACAUGACAAAGCUAAUGGUGGCUGUGUUCGUGGUGAUAGAAGAGCUCCAUGCUUACAAACUUUUGGGAUAACCGAGUUUGUCAAUGCCAAGAAAAUAAUCAUCGGGUUUUCAAGUGUAGGCAUCGUGUGAAAGCCCAAUUAGUGUUCCAUUGUUUUAGAUUUAAAAGUGCUUUAGAUGAUUCUUGCUGCCUUGUCCAACCUUUCCAUUUCAGGCAUCAUUUCUAAGUUGUAUGGCAUCCACGAAUUUCCUGAUAGUUUGUUCUGCACAGGCUGCCUCAUGUAGGCUUUUGGCGCUCGUGAUCUACCUUGAUUAGCUGACCUGCUCCUAGGCCUACUUCCCCUCCCCUCGGACUUCUCUCCCUCUAUGAUGGAUGCUUCAUAACAGGUGUAUGGAAGCACAAAAGUAGACUCAUAUAAACUGCAGUUGCAGUAUCAGCAAUAAGCAAGGGAAGUAUUACAUGUUUCUAUCAAAACUGUGUAUAAAUUUAAGAGCUUAGCAAGAGAAUAGCAUCUCUGUUCCAGGAGAAAAAAAUUAAGAGCUUAGCAAGAGAAUAGCAUCUCUGUAUAAAUUUUAGAGCUUAGUUUUUUGCAUAUGCAUGUAACAGCAACUCUUUUGUGUUCUGGUCUUAAAUAUCUUAUUCAUGAUACAGUAAUCUGCACCAAGCUUACUAUGUUGAAUUUUGGCAAUGUAUGAUGCCAUUUGCAACCUUCUUCUUGAGCAAGCUGAAACAGGAGUAACUCCAUUAAUCAUUAUGUAGGAUGUGUGCACUUGUUUCCGUUGUACCCAUUUUGGAAGCUGUGGUAGCGCGAUAGGCUUUACCAGCGCUUGCAUACUUGGUGUGAUACGACACCUAUAGAAAUUGCUGCGGACUAUUGAAGAAGAGAGCCUGUGGAGAUUGGACGUGGAGUAUGUGAACUCGAGUGCACAGGAGUUCGUUAUCUGUCCCGUUCGGUACUGCGGUGUGAUUCGGUGCAUUGAAUGCUCGCAACAGUCCCAUUGUUGACCAGGAAUUUGGAAAUUGAGAUAUACGUAGAGGUGCAGACCUGACUGGUGGGCAAUAGCUCUGACGGACGCUGGGACGCCGUCGACUGAUCGGAGGAGAGCCGUGGCUCGGGACGUCGGUGCCGUCCCGAUCCGUGGUUCAGAAUUAUUGCUUUUUAGUUAGUGUCGACAGGAUCGAGUAAAUGCAGGGAUGGGUAGAUGCAAGCAACUGUCUCCUACCUUACGAGACUAGAUCUUUCUUCUCUUGAGGUCGGUGAUCCAGAGGAGGCGACUGCGGCUGCCGGAGAAGAUGGACUUCUUGAUGCAACCGAUUAACAGGUGAGAAAAUCUGUUAUAUGCUGCAUGUUCGGUUAUUCAGUAUGAAGAUGUAAUCAAUCCGCCAUUCCGGGCUGCGUGUCAACUUAGCAAAAUCAUCCGCCAUUCCGAUCGCGUGCGACGGAAUCGACCUGCACACGGUGCUGCAAAAUUUCGGGGGUGCGAUCGCGUCCCUGCCAAUUAGAUACCUCGGCCUGCCAAUCACUAUGGGUAGGCUCAGAUUAGUGCACCUGCAAUUCGUCCUCGAUAGGAUCCGUGCACGCCUCGCAGGCUGGAAAGGGAGGCUCAUGCCCUUCACCGGCAGACGCGUCCUGGUACGCUGUGUCCUCUCGGCAAUGCCCACCUUCGCCCUCACUGUG